rnacentral:rRNA from 1 species
CCGGUAAACGGCGGCCGUAACUAUAACGGUCCUAAGGUAGCGAAAUUCCUUGUCGGGUAAGUUCCGACCUGCACGAAUGGCGUAAUGAUGGCCAGGCUGUCUCCACCCGAGACUCAGUGAAAUUGAACUCGCUGUGAAGAUGCAGUGUACCCGCGGCAAGACGGAAAGACCCCGUGAACCUUUACUAUAGCUUGACACUGAACAUUGAGCCUUGAUGUGUAGGAUAGGUGGGAGGCUUUGAAGUGUGGACGCCAGUCUGCAUGGAGCCGACCUUGAAAUACCACCCUUUAAUGUUU